AGUACCGAGGCAUGGUCGCGGCGCCCGGGCUGCGCUGAAGGCGUCUGCGAGCGGAUGGGGGACCCCAAGGCCCACGUGAUGGCGCGCCCCCUGCGAGCCCCUCUCCGGAGGUCCUUUAGCGAUCACAUCAGGGACUCCACGGCCAGAGCCCUGGAUGUCAUUUGGAAAAACACUAGAGACAGACGGCUGGCAGGUGAGAGGCAG
rnacentral:lncRNA from 1 species